GAUGAACGCUGGCGGCGCGCCUAACACAUGCAAGUCGAACGAUUAAAGCACCUUCGGGUGUGUAUAAAGUGGCGAACGGCUGAGUAACACGUGGGCAACCUGCCCCUUUCAUUGGGAUAGCCACGGGAAACCGUGGAUAAUACCGAAUACUUCGAGACUUCCGCAUGGAAGACUCGAGAAAGCUCCGGCGGAGAGGGAUGGGCCCGCGGCCUGUUAGCUUGUUGGUGGGGUAACGGCCUACCAAGGCAAUGAUGGGUAGCUGGGUUGAGAGACCGACCAGCCAGAUUGGGACUGAGACACGGCCCAGACUCCUACGGAAGGCAGCAGUGGGGAAUCUUGCACAAUGGGCGAAAGCCUGAUGCAGCGACGCCGCGUGCGGGAUGAAGGCCUUCGGGUUGUAAACCGCUUUCAGCAGGGACGAGGCGAAAGUGACGGUACCUGCAGAAGAAGCCCCGGCUAACUACGUG
rnacentral:rRNA from 1 species